rnacentral:rRNA from 1 species
CCCUUAGAUAUUCUGGGCUGCACGCGCGCUACACUGACGCACGCAACAGGUGCCUGCUCCGAGAGGACUGGGUAAUCAUUUGAGUGUGCGUCGUGAUGGGGAUAGAAUAUUGUAAUUAUUACUCUUCAACGAGGAAUUCCUAGUAAGCGCCAGUCAGCAGCUUGCGCUGAUUACGUCCCUGCCCUUUGUACACACCGCCCGUCGCUCCUACCGAUGGGUGAUCCGGUGAAUGAUUCGGACUUCAGCGGCUCCCCUGGGGUGCGCCGGAGAAAGUUUUGUGAACCUUAUCACUUGGAGGAAGGAGAAGUCGUAACA